GAUGAACGCUGGCGGCGUGCCUAAUACAUGCAAGCCGAGCGAAUGGAUUAAGAGCUUGCUCUUAUGAAGUUAGCGGCGGACGGGUGAGUAACACGUGGGUAACCUGCCCAUAAGACUGGGAUAACUCCGGGAAACCGGGGCUAAUACCGGAUAACAUUUUGAACCGCAUGGUUCGAAAUUGAAAGGCGGCCUCGGCUGUCACUUAUGGAUGGACCCGCGUCGCAUUAGCUAGUUGGUGAGGUAACGGCUCACCAAGGCAACGAUGCGUAGCCGACCUGAGAGGGUGAUCGGCCACACUGGGACUGAAACACGGCACAGACUCCUACGGGAGGCAGCAGUAGGGAAUCUUCCGCAAUGGACGAAAGUCUGACGGAGCAACGCCGCGUGAGUGAUGAAGGCUUUCGGGUCGUAAAACUCUGUUGUUAGGGAAGAACAAGUGCUAGUUGAAUAAGCUGGCACCUUGACGGUACCUAACCAGAAAGCCACGGCCAACUACGUGCCAGCCGCCGCAGUAA
rnacentral:rRNA from 1 species